UACGGGGGGGGCAAGCGUUGUUCGGAAUUACUGGGCGUAAAGGGCUCGUAGGCGGCCAACUAGGUCAGACGUGAAAUCCCUCGGCUUAACCGGGGAACUGCAUCUGAUACUGGAUGGCUUGAGUUCGGGAGAGGGAUGCGGAAUUCCAGGUGUAGCGGUGAAAUGCGUAGAUAUCUGGAGGAACACCGGUGGCGAAGGCGGCAUCCUGGACCGACACUGACGCUGAGGAGCGAAAGCCAGGGGAGCAAGCGGG
rnacentral:rRNA from 1 species